ensembl:ncRNA T22D1.19 ncRNA
CAACAAAACGAUGACAAUUGGAUUAGAAAAUCUGAAAAUCCGCGCCGGUUCGCGGAAAAAAUGAUAAUUUGAACAGACUUUGUUUAAAGGCGCAGUCAUCAUGCCGGCUGGUGGGUCUCGCCACGAAUGGCUCCGAUUCAAAAUACGUGG